rnacentral:rRNA from 1 species
GGGGAAUAUUGCACAAUGGGCGCAAGCCUGAUGCAGCCAUGCCGCGUGUAUGAAGAAGGCCUUCGGGUUGUAAAGUACUUUCAGCGGGGAGGAAGGUGUUGAGGUUAAUAACCUCAGCAAUUGACGUUACCCGCAGAAGAAGCACCGGCUAACUCCGUGCCAGCAGCCGCGGUAAUACGGAGGGUGCAAGCGUUAAUCGGAAUUACUGGGCGUAAAGCGCACGCAGGCGGUCUGUCAAGUCGGAUGUGAAAUCCCCGGGCUCAACCUGGGAACUGCAUUCGAAACUGGCAGGCUGGAGUCUUGUAGAGGGGGGUAGAAUUCCAGGUGUAGCGGUGAAAUGCGUAGAGAUCUGGAGGAAUACCGGUGGCGAAGGCGACUUUCUGGACAAUAACUGACGCUGAGGCUCGAAAGCGUGGGGAGCAAAC